UCUCCUCCAGUCAACAUGCUGAGGUGGUUCUGCUCCAUGUUUGUGGUUCUGGACCUUCUAUCAGGUGUCUGUGUUGGACGACUGACUCCAGCCAUGGUCCAAGAGUCAUAUGAAGAAGGCAGAGCUGUCACUCUGUCCUGCACCAUCUCUCCUCCUGCUACCUCUGGGGACCCGCUCUCCUGGUACCGACAGUACCCUGGAGGAUCACUGGAUCUCUUGACAACUUACUUGCAGGAUGGUGGAACAGUUAAAGCUCCAGUCUCUGGCCUGACUGUUGGUGCGCAGGAUGAUGGAAGCCAGAUGGAGCUGAAGAUCAAGUCUGCUGCAGUGAGGGACUCUGCUGUCUACUUCUGUGCUCUACAGCCCACAGAUCCAGAGCACAAAAAGAUGAGGUGCUUCAACCAGAGAAAGAAGUGA